GGACAAACUUGUUUUGUUUCAUCUUAUCACUGUUCUUAGUGGCGAACCACUCUUAAUUGACUAUUUAAAUAUCUGUCGAUGCAUUCCAUGUUAAUUAUCAUACCAAGCUAGUUAUUCCAGUUACGGACUUAAAGAAUUGAUGUGAAUAAUUUCGCCUAAAAUACAAAUUCAUUUUGAGAAUUCGUUUAGACGUUGUUAGUGUUCAAGUGAGAAAAUAUAGUCAGUACGAUAAACAUGAAACUAUUGUUCGUUUUCGUUCUUGUAACCGUAGCAAUUGUUCAGCUUGUCGCUGGAAUUGAGACGGCCCAGAAUGAUCCAUAUAGGGAAAUACCGGUUCCCACAACCACGUCGACGAGACCGCCAUGUGUACCGAUAACAUGUAGACCAUUCUGUCCCGAUGGAAGUCUUGUUCGUUACGGAACAGAUGAAUAUGGCUGCGGUCGCUGUUCAUGUGAAAAAAAAAUUGAAUGAACCUCUCCUCUGACUCAAACUGAUAAGAAUAACGAUGAAGUACAUGUUGAAUAAAUGAAAAAAAUUGAAGAAAAA